rnacentral:rRNA from 1 species
ACUCCUACGGGAGGCAGCAGUGGGGAAUCUUGGACAAUGGGGGCGAACCCUGAUCCAGCCAUGCCGCGUGAGUGAUGAAGGCCUUAGGGUCGUAAAGCUCUUUCGCCUGUGAUGAUAAUGACAGUAGCAGGUAAAGAAACCCCGGCUAACUCCGUGCCAGCAGCCGCGGUAAUACGGAGGGGUUAGCGUUGUUCGGAAUUACUGGGGCGUAAAGCGCGCGUAGGCGGAUUAGUCAGUUAGAGGUGAAAUCCCAGGGCUCAACCCUGGAACUGCCUUUAAUACUGCUAGUCUUGAGUUCGAGAGAGGUGAGUGGAAUUCCGAGUGUAGAGGUGAAAUUCGUAGAUAUUCGGAGGAACACCAGUGGCGAAGGCGGCUCACUGGCUCGAUACUGACGCUGAGGUGCGAAAGUGUGGGGAGCAAACAGGAUUAGAUACCCUGGUAGACAUCAC